AUGCUGCAAUCAGCAAAACCUCUAACACCAGGUUUGUUUAUGGCCCUUUGUAAACAGACCAAACUCCCUUGGCCAGUCCUCCUUGAAGAAGCUUCCAUCCUCCAGGAUAGGGGCAGGGCUGCUGUCUGCGUCUGCAUCUCACCAAGGCCGGGCUCCAGGUAUGCAACUGUGCUACAGGUGAGUCCAGCCUGGGCCCCCAUCAGCCCCAGAGUCUGCAGAACAGAGCGCAGCAGCUGGGGCCGCCACCUGGGAAAGAACACCGCUUUUGCCAUGGCUAGGUUGGUAGGUAUCUCCCCAGGGGUGAUUAAAGAUAGCCCCCCUGUUUGUCUAGGGACCGGAAAUCCUGGUCUGCUCCUCGGUCCCACGUGCUGGCACUUGGUACAGACGCCUGACCGGGCCCUGGAGUUCUUAUCCUCAACACCCCCGAACCUUCCAGGCUCCAGAGAGAGAAGACGGAAGCCCCCAGCACUGCGGCCCACUGCCCAGGACGCAGGGAUUUCGACAGGAAGCAGCACCUCGGUGAAUCAAGCGCAUUAUUCCUUCCGGUGUGCCUCCGUCUGUAUGGUAACAUGUAAGUUAUUUCUAAACAUUCGUGAUCCUUAAGACUGGCACAUGGAAAUGUUUGUGAAAUUACCUCUUUGAAAGAAAAGCUUACAAACUUGGGGUUAUUUAGUCUGCAGAAUGGAACAUGGAGGGUAGGUUUAACAUGUACAAAUUUAAUAAAGGUCUAAGAAGAGCUACAUCAGCACCUUUCCUAUUUCUCCUCUGAGCCAGAGAGAGAGAAAGGAGCUGGAGAAGAGAUGGAGGGUUGACUGCAGGAAGAAUUUCUCUGGACCACAGUGCAGCCCUGGAGGAUCUCACAGGAGGAGCUUGAGGGUUUUGGUGAACAGUCAUUCCACUGACAUUUACUGACUAUCUUCUGGGGAUUUCCUGUCUGCUGGCUAGCUCUGUCCCAGAGCUAAAUCAGGAAGAUUUCACCCAAAUGCUUUUCUGGAUUCUGGUUUUCCUCACAAAGGAUUGCUAUCUCCACCCCCGCACCCUCAAACUUUUCAUCUUAUUCUCGGUCACUUAGGAAGGGCUCAGAGUUCUGGAGAUGACCUCCCCCCAUCCACAAAAAAACCCCACAAAAGAUGAAAAACCAAACAAAACUUUGAAAAUUAAGAGUUAUUCUAAAAGUAGGAGAUCUGAGCCACCACACUGGUGGAGCCUUGGGCCUCUUGAUCAAAUAGGCCACUUAUAAAGCCAGUGGCAUUCUGAGAAAAGCCGCAGCAAUGGUAGCCAGCUGAGGAGUUUGGUGACUCGCAGUGAGUUUGUUUAUAUUACCAAACGCCUUUUACUCAACUAAAACUUUCUUUGCCAGAGAAAAUGGCAGCACCAUUACCAUUCUAGGAGUCCCUGCAUUAGGCCUCACCCAACAAACCGCUAGGCUGUCUAUCCAGGACAUUUGAAACGCCCCGUGCCACAGGGAAUGGCAUGAAAUUUCAUCAUAUUCAGUGAGGCCCUGUUCAACGGUCUGCAGGGAACCAAGUCUUCUCGUGUGCACCUGGGUAUGAGUCACUGACUCGGUGACCUCCGUUUGCAAUCUGCUUUCCCACUGUAAUUAAUUUAUCCUUCAUGAGAUGGAGGCACCUACCCCUUCUUAGGGACACAUGCCUGAUUCCACAUAACUCUCCAAGUACGUCUGUCAUUUGUGUGGCAAUCUUGUGUGAUCCGAGAAUCUCCACUACUGCUGUCAUUUUUAAGGCCAUUUGAAACAUCUUAACGGUCCUGUUUUUUUUUUGUUGUUGUUUUGUUUUUUUUAAUUCUCCUCAUGCUCAUUUUCUAAAUGGAAGGAAUUCUUAUGAGGUAAUAGGGUGGUGAGGGAGAGAAAGAGUUUGCUUUAGCUCCUGCUAGUUAUUCCAUGUUAUGCUCCAGUGGGUUAUUUGCAUCUGGUCUCUAUUUGUUAACAUCAAUGGGCUGUGUUCACAUAACUAGAUCGAAUUAUAAAAGGCCUUCCAUUUUGAAUGGUUAACUCUCACCAAACCAAACCGAACCAACCAACCAACCAAGUAGACAAACAAACAAACAAACAAAAAACAGUCUAAGCUAGAGAUACCAGCCUUGAGAAACCUGUGCUGGAGAAAAAAAAAAAAGAAUCUCUUAAAGGCUGUCACAAAGCCUUUCUGGUUUCAAUUUCCCUUCUCCUUUUGAAAGGAGAUCCAGUACCCCCAGUACCUCCGCCCAGAAUAAAGUUGCUGGGACUUGGCAGGAAAUGGAGCAGCAGACCACCCAAGACUUGGGGGUGUCUGAUGUGGAAGGGAUAAUUUAAGUGCAAACCUGAAGAUGAUGUCAAGGAGAUGAGAAUGAGUCAUGGCCCCUCAGCCUCUCAUUUUUCCUCAGCGAAGUUCCCUGGGUCGAAGCUUGCAGGGCCCGUGCAGUCCCUUCCAGCUCCUACCUUAGCUCCAGGCGGUGCACAACCGAACCCUUUCGAAAGACCUCCAACGCUUUCAAGUUCUUGAGCAACGUCCCUGUUUCCGAAACUCCUCGGGCUGUCUUCUGUCAACACGCGCCUCCUUCCCUUUCGCUCACACACAUUUUCCUUAUCACCAUCGGAUGUAUUUUGUCCCUUCCAAUAAAAAACUGUGACGUUCUGGAAGCCAGACGAGUCUUGCUCCACCUCGGUGUGCCCCGCGCGUCCAUGCCAACACCUGGGACAGAGC
rnacentral:lncRNA from 1 species